GUAUCUACAGCAUUUUUGCCUCCAUGCAUCAUUGGUCAUCAUUGGUCAUCAUUGGUCAUCAUUGGUCAUCAUUGGUCUCUGAAGUCAUCAUUGGUCUCUGAAGUCUGUUUCAUGUUGGAAUCCAACGCUUUGUGUUCAGAUGGCAAGACUCCUCUGCAUGUCAGUGAUCAUCAGCGUGAUGCUUCUUCAAAGCUGCUCCUGUAUCAGCAAGGAGGAUCUGGCUGAAAUGGUGGAUGUGAUUUGGACAAACUACCGCCCGGGCAAGAUGUUCAGCAUCGCCGCAAGCAUCCCCCCAAAUAAUAACAAAGAGGGGAAAUAUGAUUUCAGCCAAGUCUUGAAUGCUGAGAACGCUAAGGAGGUGAAGGAUACGAUAAAGAGAGAAGUGUAUAAAAGAGGAAGAAUUGUUGCUGCAACAUUUAUCCCAAAACCAGACAACAGAGGAAAUACACACGCAGAGUAUCGAGUUCUUCAGAACUUUGACAACUUGAUUAAUCAUAGAUCUCCAAAUGACUUGCUGCUUUUUUAUGUUCUAGCAGCUCCUUGUACCCAGAAGUGUACAAAGGUUAACC
rnacentral:lncRNA from 1 species